GUAACUUUGUAUUUGAGGGGGGGGGGAAAUACAUAUUGUUAAAUAUUAAAGCGCUGCACUUAAAUGUUUCCUUAAAUGAAAAAAAA